rnacentral:rRNA from 1 species
AAGCGUGGGGAGCAAACAGGAUUAGAUACCCUGGUAGUCCACGCCCUAAACGAUGAGUACUAAGUGUAGCCAGAAGGCUGUGCUGAAGUUAACGCAUUAAGUACUCCGCCUGAGUAGUACGUACGCAAGUAUGAAACUUAAAGGAAUUGACGGGAUCCCGCACAAGCGGUGGAGCAUGUUGUUUAAUUCGACGAUACGCGAAGAACCUUACCAGGUCUUGACAUACUCGGCAAAUCUAUAGAGAUAUAGAGGAGGUUAACCGGGAUACAGGUGGUGCAUGGUUGUCGUCAGCUCGUGUCGUGAGAUGUUAGGUUAAGUCCUGCAACGAGCGCAACCCUUAUUGCUAGUUACCAUCAUUAAGUUGGGGACUCUAGCGAGACUGCCGGUGAUAAACCGGAGGAAGGCGGGGAUGACGUCAAAUCAUCAUGCCCUUUAUGACCUGGGCUACAAACGUGCUACAAUGGCUGACACAAAGAGAAGCGAGCUCGCGAGAGUAAGCAAACCUCAGAAAAGCAGUCUCAGUUCGGAUUGAAGUCUGCAACUCGACUUCAUGAAGUUGGAAUCGCUAGUAAUCGCGAAGCAGAGUGUCGCGGUGAAUACGUUCCCGGGAUUUGUACACACCGCCCGUCAAACCAUGAGAGUUUGUAAUACCCGAAGCCGGUGGCCGAACCGCAAGGAAGGAGCCGUCUAAGGUAGGACAGAUGAUUGGGGUUAAGUCGUAACAAGGUAUCCCUACGAGAACGUGGGGAUG